rnacentral:rRNA from 1 species
AUUGAACGCUGGCGGCAGGCCUAACACAUGCAAGUCGAGCGAGCGGGGACGGGUGAGUAAGGUAUGGGGAACUGCCCGAUAGAGGGGGAUAACUACUGGAAAAGGUAGCUAAUACCGCAUACUAGCGGAUUAACCCAGAUGGGAUUAGCUAGUUGGUGAGGUAAUGGCCCACCAAGGCGACGAUCCCUAGCUGGUCUGAGAGGAUGAUCAGCCACACUGGGACUGAGACACGGCCCAGACUCCUACGGGAGGCAGCAGUGGGGAAUAUUGCACAAUGGGGGAAACCCUGACGCAGCCAUGCCGCGUGAAUGAAGAAGGCCUUCGGGUUGUAAAGCUCUUUCGGUAGCGAGGCGUUAACUACAGAAGAAGCACCGGCUAACUCCGUGCCAGCCGCCGCGGUAAUUC